UACGGAAGGCAGCAGUGGGGAAUAUUGCACAAUGGGCGAAAGCCUGAUGCAGCUAUGCCGCGUGUAUGAAGAAGGCCUUAGGGUUGUAAAGUACUUUCAUCGGGGAGGAAAAAACAAAACUAAUAAUUUUAUUUCUUGACGUUACCCGAAAAAGAAGCACCGGCUAACUCCGUGCCAGCAGCCGCGGUAAUACGGAGGGUGCUAGCGUUAAUCAGAAUUACUGGGCGUAAAGAGCACGUAGGUGGUUUUUUUAAGUCAGAUGUGAAAUCCCUGGGCUUAACCUGGAACUGCAUUUUGAAACUGAAAUACUAGAGUAUCGUAGAGGGAGGUAGAAUUCUAGGUGUAGCGGUGAAAUGCGUAGAUAUCUGGAGGAAUACCUGUGGCGAAAGCGGCCUCCUAAACGAAUACUGACACUGAGUGCGAAAGCGUGGGGA
rnacentral:rRNA from 1 species